rnacentral:other from 1 species
UUAGCCCUAGCCCGUGCGUGAUUGCGACACACUCCCUGAACCGUAGUUAUCUAAAAGGGGUCUUGACUUCGGUGAUGGCCGUCAGGCCUUCACUGGAAGGCGUAAGCCACCGAUUGGACCCCACCUGGUUUCCUUGACGUUCAAGGGACCCGUCACAACACGGCGAUGCCGGGGCUAAU